CUGAGUUGUCUCGCUUGCGAGACCCUCUCACACAUGCCCUUUUUGAUUAUUUUCCGGCAGUGCGUUAAGCAAUUGCCUUGAGCUUCCGGGCUCAAGUGUCUCUGCCGGGAUUCAAACUCUGAAACUUUGCAAUAGUCUGUCAAAAUUUCAAAUUGAAACA
rnacentral:misc_RNA from 1 species